UGAACGCUAGCUACAGGCUUAACACAUGCAAGUCGAGGAGCAGCAUGAGAUUAGCUGCUAAUCUGAUGGCGACCGGCGCACGGGUGAGUAACGCGUAUCCAACCUUCCCCCUACUCAGGCAUAGCCCGGUGAAAACCGGAUUAACUCCUGAUAGUUUCACUAGAUGGCAUCUGACGGUGAAUAAAGCUUUGCGGUAAGGGAUGGGGAUGCGUCUGAUUAGCUUGUUGGCGGGGUAACGGCCCACCAAGGCGACGAUCAGUAGGGGUUCUGAGAGGAAGGUCCCCCACAUUGGAACUGAGACACGGUCCAAACUCCUACGGGAGGCAGCAGUGAGGAAUAUUGGUCAAUGGGCGCGAGCCUGAACCAGCCAAGUAGCGUGCAAGGAUGACGGCCCUAUGGGUUGUAAACUGCUUUUGUAUGGGAAUAAAGUCAGGGACGUGUCCCUGUUUGCAUGUACCAUAAGAAUAAGGACCGGCUAAUUCCGUGCCAGCAGCAGC
rnacentral:rRNA from 1 species